rnacentral:RNase_P_RNA from 1 species
CAAGUGGGCCGGGUGGCCGCGCCCAUUAGGGUGAGGAAAGUCCGAGCUCCACAGGGCAGGAUGCUGGGUAACGCCCAGGCGGGGUGACCCGACGGAAAGUGCCACAGAAAACAGACCGCUACCGGGCGAAACUCCGGUUUCGCAACGAGCAAGGGUGAAAUGGUGGGGUAAGAGCCCACCGCGCUUCCCGGAGACGGGGGCGGCACGGUAAACCCCAUCCGGAGCAAGGCCGAAUAGGAGCGGAGAGACGGCCCGUCUCGCUACAACGCUCGGGUUGGCUGCAUCGAGGCGUCGGGUAACCGACGUCCCAGAUAAAUGGUCAUCCAUUCGACAUUUCUUGCCGAAUGACAGAACUCGGCUUACAGGCCCACUUGCCUG